CAGUCGCCGCGGUAAUACGUAGGGUGCGAGCGUUAAUCGGAAUUACUGGGCGUAAAGCGUGCGCAGGCGGUUGUGUAAGACAGGUGUGAAAUCCCCGGGCUUAACCUGGGAACUGCGCUUGUGACUGCACAGCUAGAGUAUGGCAGAGGGGGGUGGAAUUCCACGUGUAGCAGUGAAAUGCGUAGAGAUGUGGAGGAACACCGAUGGCGAAGGCAGCCUCCUGGGCCAAUACUGACGCUCAUGCACGAAAGCGUGGGGAGCAAACAGGAUUAGAUACCCCCGUAGUCCCUGUCUCUUAUAA
rnacentral:rRNA from 1 species